ACUAAAUUACCAUUUUAUUUUGUUUAGACAAUGUAUCACAUUGUGAUUUUUGAAAAAACGAAUGAAGUAGAAGUGGUGCCUUCCAACUGGGUCAAAGAAAAUGAAUGUAUGUGGCCACCAAAUAAAGUGGAUGUUGUAAAAGCCACAAAAAAUAAGGAGCAACCUGGGGAAGGAUGGACUCCACACAGGGUCAGAAUUAUAUUUACAUCGAAGAGUUACAGUGAGGCAAGAUUAAAACUACCUGAAGCUGUCGAACACACAGACCUUGCAACAGAUGGGGAGGAUUCCCCAAUUAAACCCAAACGAAGAAGAAUGCCAAAGAACCUACUUUUUCCUGGAGAAGAUGAGGAUGAAGAAAUCAGUGUUGAUCAGUCAAAAGAUAAUGGAAAGAAAAG